AUUCCAGCUCCAAUAGCGUAUAUUAAAGUUGUUGCAGUUAAAAAGCUCGUAGUUGGAUUUCUGGUUAGAUGCGCCUGGCCCGCCGACGUUCAGUCGUGUGAAGUGCUGGUGCGCAACUGCCAUCCUUCUAGAGAAGGGACCAACGGUUCAUUCCGGUUCGGUUCACAAUCUAGAUCUUUUACUUUGAAAAAAUUAGAGUGUUUAAAGCAGGCUUUUGCUAUGAGUACAUUAGCAUGGAAUAAUAAUUUAGGACUCUGUUUCUAUUUUGUUGGUUUCCGGAAACGGAGUAAUGAUUGAUAGGGAUUGUUGGGGGUGCUAGUAUUCAGCGGCCAGAGGUGAAAUUCUCGGAUUCGCUGAAGACUAACUUAUGCGAAAGCAUUCACCAAGGAAGUCUUCAUUA
rnacentral:rRNA from 1 species